GGGGAUUUAUCUCAGUGGUAGAAGGCUGUCCUAGUGUGUGCAAAGGCCCUGGGUUCAAACCCCAGUACCCUCC
rnacentral:tRNA from 1 species